rnacentral:lncRNA from 1 species
UGGCAGAGUCGCCUGCUGCCGUGACAUCGUCGAUGAUCUCGCUCUGGUUGCGGUGGAGGAUCGGACGCGCCAGCCAUUGGCCAGAGUCAGUAGCCGCAGUGUGGAGGUUGAGGAAGUUGGUGCCGCUGUUGUUGGCAGCGUUAACGUUGGUGUCGGAGUUGCUGUUGUCAUUAUUGUUGUUUGUGGUGGUGCUGUUGGUGUAGUGCGUGCGGAGAAGGGCGUUAUUGAGCCAAUUUGGCGCUGGUUGGUGAGGAUCAGAGGGAGGUUUGGAGGUAGGGUCGGAGAGGAGAGAUGCGUCAGUGAGAGUUUGGUUAUGGUGUUGUUGUUGGUCAGUGAAAUGGUGGAGUGGAAGGUCUUGAGGGUUGUGGUAAGCCAUAUAUGAUAGAAAUGAAACUCUUUCCUACUCUGUGUGCGAAAGGUAGCAGCUAUUGGUUCAUGGCUAAGUGAAGAAACUAGAGAGAAAAAUGGAAAAUGGAGGGAACAUAAGGUGUUCUGAGUUACAAACAACGUUGUAUUAAUGGUUUUGGAGAAACACACAACUCAAUACAUUCACAUAAGGCGGUUUUCUGUAUUUCUCACUCUGGUUUUCCGGUCAUUACUUACUAAUUCCGGAAAUUGCUUUUUUUUCCGUCACCCCCACUAUUUUCUUUUUCUUUUUAUUUUCACCCUGGCCCUUCAACCC